AACGCGAAGAACCUUACCUGGGCUCGAACGGCUCACGAACCUCCUUGGAAACAGGGAUUUCCCGCAAGGGACGGGAGUCGAGGUGCUGCAUGGCUGUCGUCAGCUCGUGUCGUGAGAUGUUGGGUUAAGUCCCGCAACGAGCGCAACCCUUGUCCUGUGUUGCCAUGCCGAAAGGCGGAACUCGCAGGAGACCGCCAGCGAUAAGCUGGAGGAAGGUGGGGAUGACGUCAAGUCCUCAUGGCCUUUAUGUCCAGGGCUACACACGUGCUACAAUGGCCGGUACAAUGCGCUGCUAAGUCGCAAGACGGAGCCAAUCGCAAAAAACCGGUCUCAGUUCGGAUUGCAGGCUGCAACUCGCCUGCAUGAAGCUGGAAUCGCUAGUAAUGGCAUAUCAGAACGAUGCCGUGAAUACGUUCCCGGGCCUUGUACACACCGUAGUAC
rnacentral:rRNA from 1 species